CCUACGGGCGGCAGCAGUGGGGAAUAUUGCGCAAUGGGCGAAAGCCUGACGCAGCGACGCCGCGUGAGGGAUGAAGGUCUUCGGAUCGUAAACCUCUGUCAGCAGGGAAGAACGGUCACUGUGCUAAUCAGCAGUGCAUUGACGGUACCUGCAAAGGAAGCACCGGCUAACUCCGUGCCAGCAGCCGCGGUAAUACGGAGGGUGCGAGCGUUAUUCGGAAUUACUGGGCGUAAAGGGUUCGUAGGCGGUAUGACAAGUCAAGGGUGAAAUCCCCGCGCUCAACGUGGGAACUGCCUUUGAAACUGGCAAACUGGAGUGUGUGAGAGGAUAGUGGAAUUCCAGGUGUAGGAGUGAAAUCCGUAGAUAUCUGGAAGAACAUCAGUGGCGAAGGCGACUAUCUGGCACAUAACUGACGCUGAGGAGCGAGAGCGUGGGUAGCAAACAGGAUUAGAUACCCGAGUAGUC
rnacentral:rRNA from 1 species